CCUACGGGAGGCAGCAGUGGGGAAUAUUGCACAAUGGGGGGAACCCUGAUGCAGCGACGCCGCGUGGGUGAAGGAGUAUUUCGGUAUGUAAAGCCCUAUCAGCAGGGAAGAAAAAUGACGUUACCUGACUAAGAGGCACCGGCUAAAUACGUGCCGGCAGCAGCGGUAAUACGUAGGGUCCAAGCGUUAUCCGGAUUUACUGGGUGUAAAGGGAGUGCAGGCGGCGCGUUAAGCCUGGUGUGAAAGCCCGCGGCCCAACCGCGGGACUGCAGUGGGAACUGGCGAGCUUGAGUGCCGGAUGGGUAGGCGGAAUUCCUAGUGUAGCGGUGAAAUGCGUAGAUAUUAGGAGGAACACCAGUGGCGAAGGCGGCCUACUGGACUGUAACUGACGCUGAGGCUCGAAAGCGUGGGGAGCAAACAGGAUUAGAUACCCGAGUAGUC
rnacentral:rRNA from 1 species